rnacentral:lncRNA from 1 species
GUCAAAAAAGUGUCCGCAAAAACAUGGCGGAUUUUCACGUUUGCUGACGCCAUAUGGUUCCUCCGGCUCAUGGCAAUUACCACUGACCAACCGCGAUCCUAAGCAUCCAACAAAGACCUUCGCCCCCCUGUUUUUGCACAAAUAUUUUAUGUUUUCAAGACAAAAUCAUGCCGUUUUUCUCCACUUGUGGAUGCAAAAAUUCGCUGUAAUGACUUUAAAGGGAAGAAUAUUUCUUCUGAAAGGUAAGAUUUGUGAAAAUUUUAAGUUUUUACCUUUUAUUCGACUAAUUUUCGAUUGGCAAAGUCAGGGGCCGAUAUGCGUAUAAAAUCGAGGUAUAAAUAUGUAUUUGUCAAACACUUAUAUUUUAUAUUUACACCAAUACUUCUGGAGCAGACAUAAAAAACGUUGUACAUGGUUAUUUAUACAUUGUGUACAUACAUUUUCUUUCUAGUUUCAGGCACUGGCUUUUGUUUUUAGUGCCAGUUUAUUAGUUUAAACAGCAUGCUGCUCAUGCAAUCUGUAGUUUGCUUUGUUUCAUAAAGAGCAGUUAGCACUAGAUUUAUAUACAGUAUAAACAAGCUGUAUUGUAUCCUUCACAAAUAUUAUAAACUGCUAGUCUUGCUAGGUUUUGUAUCGGCAUUUACCAAUUGGCUGUGUAAUUUAGGCUUUUUUUGUGUGGUUGUGCACUACAUUUCAGUUCAGCAUUGAGCUAUCAUCGACUUGUGCAUACCCAAAUUUGCAUGAUUUAUACUUAUAUCAUUCUUGCAUUGGCAUUACCUUACCCUGGUUGCCAGAGGUUCUGUAUCUUUCUAAAUAUACGAGCGGGAAUAAGGCGAAAGAUACAGAACCUCUGGCAACCAGGGUAGCAUUACCUUGAAUGCUAGAAUGGGUCAACCUGACAACCUCUAUGCCUCAUAAAAAUUUCCAAACAAAAAACCUCCUUCACUCAGAAAAUACCUCUGUCAUGGGAGUCUUGAUUUAUGUUUAGCCAUAUUUAUUUAGAUCCCUUAGAGGUUAACCCAUUGAGUCACAUUGCACCCUACUUUAUUAUUUUACUCUGUCUGAUGCCAGACAAUUUUACUCAUCAAGUAGAGAGUGCUGGUGCUUAAUGGGUUAAUAACUAGCCUAUGUGUAUAGUUAUGAGUCGCAUUGCACCCUGAUGCACCCUUUACUCUGUCUAAUGCCAGAUUAUUUUACUCAUCAAUUGGGGAGAGCGAUGGCGCUUAAUGGGUUAAUUCAGAUUUAUACAAAGUAGGGGUGGUGGUCUGAGCUAACUGGCCAGAACCUACAGUAUGCACCCAUUGCAAUUAAUUUUGAAAUGUACAUGAAACAGUUUCCAUAAAAUAAAACAAACCAUAGAAUAAAACAAUCAUAAACAAAAUAACUUUAUUUCUCAUUUCUAUUACAGGCAUCAAAGUGAUAUGUAAUUAUACAAGAACUGAAGCAAAAAUGUUCUUGCUGUAACAGAUGUAUUGUAUCAUGAUAGUUGACAUUGAUGUAUAUGAUCUUAUUUGGGUGUAACAAUGUGUAGUAAUACAGUAUCUGUAGUAGUAAUCUGUUAUUGCUACCAAAAGAAAAUUGAAAAGAGAUAAACAUGCCAAACAGCCAAAGUCACAGCUCAUGGGACUACAAAGUGAUAAUUAUACUAGAAUAACUUGAUUAUACAGUUAGUUCAAACUGAUUGGGUCAUUCAAAAAAAUAUCCACACCCCUAAUGGAAGAGAUGGGAGGUUGAGCUUCCUCCCACUUUUGGACACCCUUAACUAAUACUUUUACUAUUAUCAGCAGUUGAGUUCUGCCCACGUCAGACAGCACUUCAGACAUCUGUGGAGUUAGUGUUUAUCUUUUCUGGAAUGACUCAUUGGUGAUUAGUAGUUAAUAAUUAUUCAUUGAAGAAUUUAAAUUAAAAUAAUACAAUUUCAACUGCAUCAUUGUGGUGGUAAAUAAUUCUGCAAUAAACAAGAAUAGGUUAUAUAGGUUACUCUAAAAGAGAAAAAGCAUGAAAAAUCAUAUCAAGGGAAAAUGAGGAAUACAAAAGAAAUAUACUAGGUUUUCAGACGAUGCUCGAACUUUGUUGGCAAGUUGAGUGACCCCUUAAAUAUACAUUGUUUUUUCAGAAUUAUAUUUAUCAAGAAACUAUUAGAAGUUACAGAGACCAUAAUCCUAUGUGUAUGUACACCAAAAGCUAAAAAAAUAUGAACAAAUAUAAAGGCCCCAAGCUCUUCAGCCAUAGCUGAAACGUCGAGGUUUAUUUGUCUUAAGCCGCGUUCACACUAGCGGCCCAGGCCUGGCCUGGACCUGGCCUGGGUGUGAACAGGUUUUACCUGGCCUGAGC